rnacentral:rRNA from 1 species
AGAGUUUGAUCAUGGCUCAGAACGUACGCUGGCGGCACGCCUAAUACAUGCAAGUCGAACGCAGUAGCAAUACUGAGUGGCAGACGGGUGAGUAUAAUGUGGGUAUCUGCCUUUUGGUUUGGAAUAACUUGGGGAAACCUGAGCUAAUACCGGAUAAGCCCUUACGGGGAAAGAUUUAUCGCCGAAAGAUGAGCCCGCACUUGAUUAGCUUGUUGGUGAGGUAAAAGCUCACCAAGGCAACGAUCAAUAGCUGUUCUUAGAGGAAGACCAGCCACAUUGGGACUGAGACACGGCCCAGACUCCUACGGGAGGCAGCAGUAGGGAAUCUUGCACAAUGGGGGAAACCCUGAUGCAGCGAUGCCGCGUGAGUGAAGAAGGCCUUUGGGUUGUAAAACUCUUUCGUCGGGGAAGAAAAUGACUGUACCCGAAUAAGAAGGUCCGGCUAACUUCGUGCCAGCAGCCGCGGUAAUACGAAGGGACCUAGCGUAGUUCGGAAUUACUGGGCUUAAAGAGCUCGUAGGUGGUUAAAGAAGUUGGUGGUGAAAUCCCAAGGCUUAACCUUGGAACUGCCAUCAAAACUUUUUAGCUUGAGUAUGAUAGAGGAAAGUGGAAUUUCUAGUGUAGAGGUGAAAUUCGUAGAUAUUAGAAAGAACACCAAAAGCGAAGGCAACUUUCUGGAUCAUUACUGACACUGAGGAGCGAAAGCAUGGGUAGCGAAGAGGAUUAGAUACCCUCGUAGUCCAUGCUGUAAACGAUGUGUGCUAGACGUUGGAAAUUUAUUUUCAGUGUCGCAGCGAAAGCGUUAAGCACACCGCCU